GAUGAAGAACGUAGCGAAAUGCGAUAAGUAAUGUGAAUUGCAGAAUUCAGUGAAUCAUCGAAUCUUUGAACGCACAUUGCGCCCGUCAGUAUUCUGGCGGGCAUGCCUGUUCGAGCGUCAUUACGCCCCUCAAGUCCCCUGUGGACUUGGUGUUGGGGAUCGGCGAGGCUGGUUUUCCAGCACAGCCGUCCCUUAAAUUAAUUGGCGGUCUCGCCGUGGCCCUCCUCUGCGCAGUAGUAAAACACUCGCAACAGGAGCCCGGCGCGGUCCACUGCCGUAAAACCCCCCAACUUUUUAUAGUUGACCUCGAAUCAGGUAGGACUACCCGCUGAACUUAAGCAUAUCAAUAACGGAGA
rnacentral:misc_RNA from 1 species